AUCUCAACUGGAUGUUUAUUAUCUAUUCGUUUGAUCAGACGCGUAGGAAAAAGAGUAGACGCGUUGCAUAGAGUAAACAUCCAGUUGAGAUAUAAAUGUAAUCUUAUUUAGUGAGCCUCUAUCUACCAGCAGCCUCUAAUCGCUAACUUCCAAAAAAAAUCAUUAGUUUACUUUUGACUCAGAAAGCUACAAGGUUGAUAACCGAGAACCAUAGAAUAUACAGUAAUGUGGUUAUAUUAAUAGUUUCUACUAUUCAUCGUAUACACAUAUUAUACUGUACGAUGAACAUGCCAAAUGCAUAAAGCCAUACUCAAUAAAGUACCUAGCAUUUAAUUUUGUUUUGUAUCAUUUUGUUCAAUUAUAUGUAUUCAAAUGGUAGAGAGAGG
rnacentral:lncRNA from 1 species